rnacentral:rRNA from 1 species
CUGGAGGUAUCAGAAGUGCGAAUGCUGACAUAAGUAACGAUAAAGCGGGUGAAAAGCCCGCUCGCCGGAAGACCAAGGGUUCCUGUCCAACGUUAAUCGGGGCAGGGUGAGUCGACCCCUAAGGCGAGGCCGAAAGGCGUAGUCGAUGGGAAACAGGUUAAUAUUCCUGUACUUGGUGUUACUGCGAAGGGGGGACGGAGAAGGCUAUGUUGGCCGGGCGACGGUUGUCCCGGUUUAAGCGUGUAGGCUGGUUUUCCAGGCAAAUCCGGAAAAUCAAGGCUGAGGCGUGAUGACGAGGCACUACGGUGCUGAAGCAACAAAUGCCCUGCUUCCAGGAAAAGCCUCUAAGCAUCAGGUAACAUCAAAUCGUACCCCAAACCGACACAGGUGGUCAGGUAGAGAAUACCAAGGCGCUUGAGAGAACUCGGGUGAAGGAACUAGGCAAAAUGGUGCCGUAACUUCGGGAGAAGGCACGCUGAUAUGUAGGUGAAGCGACUUGCUCGUGGAGCUGAAAUCAGUCGAAGAUACCAGCUGGCUGCAACUGUUUAUUAAAAACACAGCACUGUGCAAACACGAAAGUGGACGUAUACGGUGUGACGCCUGCCCGGUGCCGGAAGGUUAAUUGAUGGGGUUAGCGCAAGCGAAGCUCUUGAUCGAAGCCCCGGUAAACGGCGGCCGUAACUAUAACGGUCCUAAGGUAGCGAAAUUCCUUGUCGGGUAAGUUCCGACCUGCACGAAUGGCGUAAUGAUGGCCAGGCUGUCUCCACCCGAGACUCAGUGAAAUUGAACUCGCUGUGAAGAUGCAGUGUACCCGCGGCAAGACGGAAAGACCCCGUGAACCUUUACUAUAGCUUGACACUGAACAUUGAGCCUUGAUGUGUAGGAUAGGUGGGAGGCUUUGAAGUGUGGACGCCAGUCUGCAUGGAGCCGACCUUGAAAUACCACCCUUUAAUGUUUGAUGUUCUAACGUGGACCCGUAAUCCGGGUUGCGGACAGUGUCUGGUGGGUAGUUUGACUGGGGCGGUCUCCUCCUAAAGAGUAACGGAGGAGCACGAAGGUUGGCUAAUCCUGGUCGGACAUCAGGAGGUUAGUGCAAUGGCAUAAGCCAGCUUGACUGCGAGCGUGACGGCGCGAGCAGGUGCGAAAGCAGGUCAUAGUGAUCCGGUGGUUCUGAAUGGAAGGGCCAUCGCUCAACGGAUAAAAGGUACUCCGGGGAUAACAGGCUGAUACCGCCCAAGAGUUCAUAUCGACGGCGGUGUUUGGCACCUCGAUGUCGGCUCAUCACAUCCUGGGGCUGAAGUAGGUCCCAAGGGUAUGGCUGUUCGCCAUUUAAAGUGGUACGCGAGCUGGGUUUAGAACGUCGUGAGACAGUUCGGUCCCUA